rnacentral:lncRNA from 1 species
AACCAAAAACCCUCUCUUUCGUCAUUCCACCGAACCUCAACCAAUGGCCGCCGCAGCUCCGGCUCCGGCCCCAACUCCGGCUCCGGAGCCCGUCACAUCAUUACCGGAAACCACCCCUCUCUUCACGCGCAUCCGUCUGGCCACCCCCUCCGACGUUCCCCACAUCCACAAACUGAUCCACCAGAUGGCCGUCUUCGAACGCCUGACCCACCUCUUCUCCGCCACGGAGUCCUCCCUGGCGGCCACCCUUUUCUCCCCAACCGCCCAGCCCUUCCACUCCUUCACCAUCUUUCUUCUAGAAGCUUCCCCCAACCCCUUCGCUGCUUCAACCUUGGACUCCAACCCCUUCUUCAAACCCCUGACCAAGUUCGUGAAUCUGAGGGUCCCCAUUGAGGACCCCGAGCGAGAGACGUUCAAGAGCAUGGAUGAUGUUACGGUUGUGGGGUUUGUGUUGUUUUUCCCGAACUAUUCUAGCUUUCUGGCGAAGCCGGGGUUUUACGUGGAGGACUUGUUCGUGAGGGAGUGUUACAGGAGAAAGGGGUUUGGGAGAAUGCUGCUGUCGGCGGUGGCGAAACAGGCGGUGAAGAUGGGGUACGGGAGGGUGGAGUGGGUGGUGCUGGAUUGGAAUGUGAAUGCGAUUAGGUUUUAUGAAGAGAUGGGUGCUGAUAUCUUGAACGAGUGGAGGAUUUGCAGGUUAACUGGGGAGGCUCUUCAGACUUAUGGAGGUGCUGAUUAGAAUGCUUUUUCUCUCUUUCUUUCUCUUCUGUGAUAAUAAUAAUAAUCAAAAUCUGGGUUUCUAGUGAGUCUGUUAGGGAAGGUUUGAAUGGGUUAUGAACGAGUGUUAUCUUUUUUUUGGCUCAGAGUAUGAAUCGUGAUGGUGUUAUGUCAAGUAAUUAUGUUAUGAUAAUGUUUUAGAAGCUGGUGAUUUUGUUCUUCAUGUCUCUGGUUACUGCUUUAAGUGAUGUCACUCGCUAACCGCAUCAGUAUACAUUAAAUAUCUCAAUAAAUAACAAAUCCUAUACAAAUAAUGAUCAUAUCCCUGGAAAUAUGAGAUAUAUUGGAGAAAUUAGUUAUCACUUAUUCAGGGAAGAUAGAUUUAUUAAAGGUAUUCUCUAGCAGAGACCCUCGUACUAACAAUUUAGUUAAUACUCAUGUAGCACAGACCUCAUACUAACACCUACUCAAAUAUACAUAAUCUCUAAAAUGUAACCUCAAUCUCUACUAUGCAUAAUAAAAGUUUUGAGUUUUUUAAAAAAUAAUGUAUUUCUUUUCUCUUACUUAAAAUAUUUCUUUUCUCUUACUUAAAAUGUUAAAGAUCAAUUUUAGAAUUGUCAAAAAUUUAAUAAAUACUUUUUUUAUUGACAUUUCAUUAAUACGUGUUAUACGAGUGUCAUAAUCUGAUACGUUAUCUAAACACUAUAAAUAAAAUUCUCUAACUAAAGGAUCAACUUUCACUAUACACUAUUAAUACAAACUAUCAACUUUCACUAUACACUCUUAAUACAAAUUACUUAUUUGAUAAAUACAAACUAUCAACUUUCACUAUACACUCUUAAUACAAACUACUUAUAUGAUUAUUUGAUCAUGUAGUACUUUUUUUUUUUUUACCUUUUUUAGGUUCACCAUAAUUUUAGAUACCAUUAGAACCAUUUAUAUUUUUCCUUCGGAUUAAGAUUUGCCUCUAAAAAUAUGAGAAACCAAAGUUAAAACAUUGAAAGAAUGUUUUGGAGGAAUGAAGAAAUUAUGAGUGUAUAAUGAUGAUUUGAAGGGACCUUGGUGUGGUGGGUGAAAGAUAAAAUCAAGUUGUUUUGUGUUGGAUGUGAAAUGAUACUUAUUUGGUAGUGUGUGAGGAUGUUUCAAUUGUUGGUGAUUGAGUUUUUCCCAAAGCAGAUUGCAUCUUUUGGAUGAUAAGUUUGUGCCAAUUUCAGUAUAAAAGAAAGAAAGCUUUUAUCAAAGAUUGUGCCUUUUGGAUAAGAGAGGAAAAAUCAGGUUAAAUGGUGAUUACGCUUUCACUUUGUACUCAUUUUUUUAAGGAUUAACUUGACAUUUUAAAGGUUAAAUUGUCAAUUGAUUGUAUAGUAAAGUUUGGAGAUCAAAUUGUUACUGUUAUUAUUUUACAUGCUUUCAAAAUUGAAUCAUAACUAUUUAUUUUUUUCUUUAGAGUUUAAUUAAAAUAAGCGGUAUAAUUUGUUCGAUCUGGUUUAUCUUGAUCAUCAUUGUUCAAUUAUUUUUAUUCUCCCACUCUGCCAAAUAAUUUUGAACCAAAUAUAAUAAUCAAAAUGUAAAUGAAUGUAAUAAUUAUUUUAAAAAAAGAAAGAUUUUUUUUAAAAAAUAAAAAAUAGAAAAUUUUAAAUGUAAUUUAAAUAUAUUGGUGAACAAUAAAAAUGAUUUAAAUAAAAUGGAUAUUAAUUUGCUUUGUUAAAGUAAAUAAAGAAUACAAACUUUAAUUGUUACAUAUUUUAAUGAUUAUGUAUAGGAAAAAAUUAUCUUUUAAAAUUGUAUAUAUUUAAUCAAAUAUGGUAAAUGAAGAUUAAGAUUUCAUAAUUAAAAUUAUUUUUUUCAUAUACUCUAUAAUAUAUGGUUGGUAAAUUAAAAAUUAAAUAUAUUAUAUCAACUCAUUCUGUAAUUUUGAUCAACUUCAAAUUUUAGUUUUAGAAUUAUUUUUUAUCCACUUUAACAUUUCUAAUUUUUACAUUAUACACAAUAAAUUAAAAUUAAAAUUCAAUAUAUUUUUUAAUUAAAUGAUUAUUUUAGGUAAGUUCAUCGAUCCAUUAUAAUUCAAAACAGGUAAGUCAGGUCAUAGUUAGGUGAAUUAUUCUUUAAUUGUUAUUAACUUCAAAUUUUCAUUUUAGUUAUUCUUUUUGUUUAUCAACUUCAAAAUUUCUAAAUUUUCACUAUGCACAGUGAAUUAAAAAAUAAAAUUUUAAUUAAAUAUUAAAUUUAUAAUUAGGUGAAUUUAUUUUAAUGUAUUAGUUAUUAUGAUUCAAUCUAAGUGACUCAAAAUGAUUUUUGGAUCACUUUACCUUUUCUUUAUAUCUAAUAAUAUAUAAGGUACUUUCUUGCUAACAAACUCUUAAUUAAUGGCUAAUACAAGUUAAAUAUAAAAUGUAUAAAAUGUAUAUCAUCAUAAAAAAAUUAUUGUUUUAUAUACGAAUUAUUACAUACAUAUUUAUAUUCAGAUGUAAAUUGAGCGUUAUAUAAAAAUAUUUAUAUACGAAUUUAAUUUAAAUUACAUAUAAUUUUUUCUGCUCGUAAACUAAAACUACACUACAAGAAAAUCAUCAAAUAGAAACCAAUUUUUAGAAAUCAAAAUAAUUAGUUGCAAUAUUAACUAAAUUAUAAAUUAUUUUAGAAACUAAAACAAAAAUUGGUUUCUAAAUUAGUUUCUAUUAUUUUAUAUUAUUAUUAAAUAGUUUCUAAAAUGGUAUCUAAUUAGCAAUCAAGGUUUUAUCUACCAAUUAUUUAGUUUCUAAAUUUAGUCUCUAAAACCUUGGUUGCUAAUUAGAGAUCAAUUUAGAAACUAUUUAACAAUAAUAGAAACUAAUUUAGAAACCAAUUUUUGUUUUAGUUUCCAAAAUGGUCUCUAAUUUAGUUACUAUUGCAACUAAUUAUUUUGGUCUCUAAAAAUUGGUUUCUAUUUCAUGAUUUUCUUGUAGUGCUAUUUACAUUCGAACAUAAUCAUUAUGUAAUUUUGGUACCAUGAAUAAGGAAUAAUGACAUAAUGAUCAUAUCCAUAUAUAUAAUAUUACAUUUUUAAUUAAAAAAAUCGAUAAUUGUUACAUACGGAUUUUAUCCAUAUAUAAUGUAUUACAUAUUUAAUUAAAAAAAGAUAAAUAGUUACAAACAAAUUUUAUCCAUAUAUAAGAUUUUACAUAUUUAAUUAAAAAAUUGAAAUAUUUACGUAUGAAUUAUAUUCAUAUAUAAUUUGUUAGAUACGAAUUUUAAAAAAUCAGAAAUUGUUACAUACAAAUUCUAUUUGUAUAUAAAAUAUUACAUAUUUAAUUAAAAAAACUAAAAUAUUUACAUAAAAGUUAUAUCCGUAUGUAAAGUUUUACAUACAAAAUUAAAAAAAAUAAAGUGUUUUAUGAAAGUAUGUUAUGUUUUGUUAAAUAUUGAUGAAUAUUUGUCUUUGAAUGAAUUAUAUUGAAAAAUGGAAUGUCUUUCGAUAUAUGCAUACAUGGAAUUGAUUUCCAGUCAUAGUUACGUACAGAAAUUUAUCCGUAUAUAAACAUGCACAUAGUUACAUAUGAAUAAAUGCAUAUAUAAACUUUCACACAGUUACAUAUGGAUAUAUUUAUAUGUAAACCUGCACACAGUUACAUGCAAAAAUAUUCGUAUGUAAUUACAUACAUAUCCUAAAUCUGUAUAUAAUUACAUACAAAUCCUAAAUUCGUACGUAACAGUUACUACUAUAAUUUUACAUAUGAAUUCUUGUUCUUAUAUAAUACAUACAUAAUUAUGUUUUAUAUACAAAUUUAUGUGGUAUAUAAUACCAACUUUUCUUGUGGUGUUACUAAUUAUAUUAAUUUAUUUAUAAUGAAAAUCAUAAUUAAAAAAUUAAUUUAAAAUGAAGUGUGUCAGUGUGGUAACAUUUAGAACAUUGGAUAAUGAAUGAGAGAAAUUUUUAAGAAUUUUAAAAUUAAUUAACUACUCACUUUUUUUAUCACCAGUUAUUAAGCGACCAAAAAUAGAUAUAAAAUUUUGUUAAUUAAAUAUUAAUCAAUUAAAUGUUUGACAUAAAUUUGUGAUUUGUUAUGAAUUUGAUUUUUUUUAUAUUUUAAAACAAAAAUGACAUCAAUUAUUUGAUGGUAUAACAUUAAAAAUACUCUGAGUAUAUUAUAGUUUGUAUCAAUUUAUGUUUUCUUACUAAUUUUAAAUUCCUGCCGAUUUAAUUCACGUCAAUCACACUUAUAGUUGUAAUUUUCAUCGUCUUUUCGUUUUUGCAUAACAAUGUGAUUGGUUUGAAUAAAUAAAAGUAGGUGUUUUAAACAAAACAAAAUAAUAUAUAUACACAUAUAUAGAAAUAUAGUGAAUUUUCUUAUAGUGACAUGGUUAAAAAAUUAAAUUCAAAUUCCAAUAAUCAUAAAAAACGGUUUACUUUAUAAUAAAAAAAGACAUAUUUAAUUUGGUACAGUGUAUUAAUAUUCAAAAUUCAAAUAAAAAAUAAUAAAUGUAAGUAAUUGUAUUUCAACGAAAUAAGAAAUUGAAAGUUAAAAAUUAAAAUAAAUUUAAUAUUUAAUAUAGGAUAUAUAACACAACAAUUUCUAAAAUUAUUAUAGUUUAAGAGAAAUUAUUAAUAAAAUUUUCAAGCUCAAAUCUUGUGAUAAGUGAGAUAUGAAAGUAGAAAUUACUUUUACCUUUUGAUUCAUUUUAUCUAUAUGAAUAUUGUUUUUUUGUUAUUUUAAUGUUAAGUGUAGACGUGAAUAUGGAAAUAGACUUAGAAGUAAUAGAAACUAAUUUUCUUCUUGGUAAGUUACUAAUGUUUUAUUGUUUUAAAUUUAUUUAUAUUUUAAUAUUUCAUUUUUUUUAUUUCUAAUGCUACGAAAUAUGAAUGAAAGCAAGAAAAUACUCUUAUUGAAACAAAAAAUAUUGACUAAUGAAGAAUGUUCAAUCAUUUAUUAUAUUCCAUUACAAAAGAGUGUUGAUGGAAAAUGAUUAAAAAAUUAUUUAUAUUCGAAUGCUUAGAAUAUAACUUCCAAAGUACGAUGAGAAGUAAGGAUCAUAAAGGAAAGUUAAUUGUCAUAAAGCUAAUUGUCCACAUGCUUAUUUAAAAUAAAUAAUUAUUCAAAUUUUGAAUUUGGGACUUAUGGACCUAUCAAUAUUGGAUUUUCUAGGAAAAUAAUUGGAAAAAUUCAAAAACUAAUGAGUCAUAAGUUACUUUUAUGAAACGACAUGACACCACUUUCAAAAAAAAAACUUUAAGAUUGUAUGUUUGUGAGCUUUUUUUUUCUAAUAUAUUACUAUUUUUAGUUAACAUUGAACUUUCAACUUAUACUUGAAUUCCUAUUAGAUUUUUUUCCUAAAAUGAAAGUUGGUUUAAUCAUGGGCAAUUUUUAGACCAUACAUUAAGAGACAUGAAUAAUGAGUAAACCAUAAAAAAUGAUAAAAAAUAUGAUGACAUCAUCUUCAAAUCAAAAUCUUAAACUCGAAACUUAAGGUUGUAUGAUUUUUCUUAUAAAAACCAUAAUAGUUUGUCUCUCUUCAUCCAUUUAUAAAAAAAAACCGCUAACUAGAACUCACGAAAACCAAAAACACUCUUUCAUCACCGGACCUCAACCAAUGGCCGCCGCAGCGCCGCCUCCGACUCCGGAGCCCGCCACAUCAUUACCGGAAACCACCCCUAUCUUCACGCGCAUCCGUCUGGCCACCCCCUCCGACGUUCCCCACAUCCACAAACUGAUCCACCAGAUGGCCGUCUUCGAACGCCUGACCCACCUCUUCUCCGCCACGGAGUCCUCCCUGGCGGCCACCCUUUUCUCCCCAACCACCCAGCCAUUCCACUCCUUCACCAUCUUCCUUCUAGAAGCUUCUCCCAACCCCUUCGCUGUUUCAACCUUGGACUCCAACCCCUUCUUCACACC